rnacentral:rRNA from 1 species
AUACGUAGGGUGCAAGCGUUAAUCGGAAUUACUGGGCGUAAAGCGUGCGCAGGCGGUUUCGCAAGUCAGAUGUGAAAUCCCCGGGCUCAACCUGGGAAUGGCAGUGGAUACUGGCAAGCUAGAGUGUGUCAGAGGGUGGUGGAAUUCCCGGUGUAGCGGUGAAAUGCGUAGAGAUCGGGAGGAACAUCAGUGGCGAAGGCGGCCACCUGGGACAACACUGACGCUGAGGCACGAAAGCGUGGGGAGC